ACAAAAGUGGGAUGGUCGGAAAUGUCAAAUGAAAACCGAUAACACGGACAUGGUCACAAGUGAUCGACAAAGAAAAAACAAAUUUACAAUGAACACUGGCUGUGGCUGUUGCUAGGGAAGAGACGACAAAAACACAGAAUUCUACAUCAAGAUGCAAAUAUUGUCGCAAACAAUUUGAAAAUGUUACGUCAGCUGUCAGACACAUAUUAGAGAUUCACCCAAAAGAGAAAGUGUCAAUUUUGUUACCAUCCAGUAACAUUUUAACAUCUAAAUUUCGAACAAGAACAUUUGAUUAUGUAGAGAAAAUGCUGGAGGCUGUUUAUUUUGAUGAA